UACGAAGGGAGCUAGCGUUGUUCGGAAUCACUGGGCGUAAAGCGCACGUAGGCGGAUGUGUCAGUCAGGGGUGAAAUCCCGGGGCUCAACCUCGGAACUGCCUGUGAUACAGCACGUCUUGAGUCCGAUAGAGGUGGGUGGAAUUCCUAGUGUAGAGGUGAAAUUCGUAGAUAUUAGGAAGAACACCGGUGGCGAAGGCGGCCCGCUGGAUCGGUACUGACGCUGAGGUGCGAAAGCGUGGGGAGCAAACAGG
rnacentral:rRNA from 1 species